CCUACGGGUGGCAGCAGUGAGGAAUAUUGGUCAAUGGACGAGAGUCUGAACCAGCCAAGUAGCGUGAAGGAUGACUGCCCUAUGGGUUGUAAACUUCUUUUAUAUGGGAAUAAAACGUUCCACGUGUGGGAUUUUGUAUGUACCAUAUGAAUAAGGAUCGGCUAACUCCGUGCCAGCAGCCGCGGUAAUACGGAGGAUCCGAGCGUUAUCCGGAUUUAUUGGGUUUAAAGGGAGCGUAGGUGGAUUGUUAAGUCAGUUGUGAAAGUUUGCGGCUCAACCGUAAAAUUGCAGUUGAAACUGGCAGUCUUGAGUACAGUAGAGGUGGGCGGAAUUCGUGGUGUAGCGGUGAAAUGCUUAGAUAUUACGAAGAACUCCGAUUGCGAAGGCAGUUCACUGGACUGCAACUGACACUGAGGCUCGAAAGUGUGGGUAUCAAACAGGAUUAGAUACCCCAGUAGUC
rnacentral:rRNA from 1 species